rnacentral:rRNA from 1 species
UACAGAGGGUGCGAGCGUUAAUCGGAAUUACUGGGCGUAAAGCGUGCGUAGACGGUCAAGUAAGUCGGGUGUGAAAGCCCCGGGCUCAACCUGGGAACUGCACUCGAAACUUCUUUUCUUGAGUGCCGGAGAGGAAAGCGGAAUUCCUGGUGUAGAGGUGAAAUUCGUAGAUAUCAGGAGGAACACCAGUGGCGAAGGCGGCUUUCUGGACGGUAACUGACGCUGAGACGCGAAAGCGUGGGGAGCAAACAGG